rnacentral:lncRNA from 1 species
UCAUCAUUCAUCAACCAUUCACUAAAGACAGCAAAAGGUGUUCUCCAUCAAGGUGAGGAUGACUUAGCUGUUGUUAUCAAGCCAGUUUCACUUCACUGGCCAUAGUACAACUCCAUUUUCCAAGCUGGAGCUGGAGGUGGGAAGGAAGAGGAGUCGUUCUGCUUAGACAAGGAGCAGAAGCUGUUUAAUAGAGAGGAGCAGCAUACUCU